AUUGAACGCUGGCGGCAUGCCUUACACAUGCAAGUCGAACGGUAACGGGCCUUCGGGUGCCGACGAGUGGCGAACGGGUGAGUAAUACAUCGGAACGUGCCCGAUCGUGGGGGAUAACGAGGCGAAAGCUUUGCUAAUACCGCAUACGAUCUACGGAUGAAUGCAGGGGACCGCAAGGCCUUGCGCGGACGGAGCGGCCGAUGGCAGAUUAGGUAGUUGGUGGGAUAAAAGCUUACCAAGCCGACGAUCUGUAGCUGGUCUGAGAGGAUGAUCAGCCACACUGGGACUGAGACACGGCCCAGACUCCUACGGGAGGCAGCAGUGGGGAAUUUUGGACAAUGGGCGCAAGCCUGAUCCAGCCAUGCCGCGUGCAGGAUGAAGGCCUUCGGGUUGUAAACUGCUUUUGUACGGAACGAAAAGCCUUCUUUUAAUACAGGAGGGUCAUGACGGUACCGUAAGAAUAAGCACCGGCUAACUACGUG
rnacentral:rRNA from 1 species